rnacentral:sRNA from 1 species
CUUAGCCUGUGGUACAGAGCUAUUUAUGCACGACAUUGUGAGUAAAGUAGUUCAAAUUUAAAGAAUUAUCUGAUAGAUAAUUCUUCUUUGACGAAUUUCCUUUCUAGUGCCUCCAUAAGUAACUGAUGCCGGCUAUAACAUGCCCAUGGUGGCUAUAUUAUAUUAUUAAAGGAAAUUAGCAUGUCUAACAUGAUCAAAGGUCAAGUGAAGUGGUUCAAUGAGUCUAAAGGUUUUGGUUUUAUUACUCCAGCAGACGGCAGUAAAGAUGUAUUCGUACACUUCUCUGCAAUUCAGGAUCAAGGCUUCAAGACCCUAGCAGAAGGCCAAAACGUACAAUUCUCUAUUGAGAAUGGCGCGAAAGGACCAUCAGCGGCAAACGUUACUGCUAUCUAAUUAACUCUGCUGAUUUAAAAACCAUUUAAGCAUUUAUGGUUAUUUAC